rnacentral:misc_RNA from 1 species
CAACCCUCAAGCUCAGCUUGGUAUUGGGCGUCACUAGCAGGUGCUCCCUAAAAUCAGUGGCGGUGCCAUCCGGCUUCAAGCGUAGUACUACUUCUCGCUUUGGAGGUUAGGGUGUCGCCUGCCAUCAAUCACCAAUUUCUAAA